CCCUUAGAUGUUCUGGGCUGCACGCGCGCUACACUGAUGCAUGCAACGAGUUUUCGACCUUGCCUGAAAAGGCUGGGUAAUCUGUUUAACAUGUGUCGUGAUGGGGAUAGACCAUUGCAAUUAUUGAUCUUCAACGAGGAAUUCCUAGUAAGCGCGAGUCAUCAGCUCGUGCUGAUUACGUCCCUGCCCUUUGUACACACCGCCCGUCGCACCUACCGAUUGAAUGGUCCGGUGAAGCCUCCGGAUUGGCGCGCACCUCGGUGCCGCCGAGAAGUUGGCUAAACCUUACCAUUUAGAGGAAGGUGAAGUCGUAACA
rnacentral:rRNA from 1 species